UACGUAGGGGGCUAGCGUUGUCCGGAAUCAUUGGGCGUAAAGCGCGUGUAGGCGGUUCGGUAAGUCCGCUGUGAAAGUCGGGGGCUCAACCCUCGGAAGCCGGUGGAUACUGUCGGGCUAGAGUACGGAAGAGGCGAGUGGAAUUCCUGGUGUAGCGGUGAAAUGCGCAGAUAUCAGGAGGAACACCAAUUGCGAAGGCAGCUCGCUGGGACGUUACUGACGCUGAGAAGCGAAAGCGUGGGGAGCAAACAGG
rnacentral:rRNA from 1 species